rnacentral:rRNA from 1 species
CGGACGGGUGAGUAACGCGUGGGUAACCUGCCUUAUACAGGGGGAUAACAGUCAGAAAUGGCUGCUAAUACCGCAUAAGCGCACAGAGCUGCAUGGCUCAGUGUGAAAAACUCCGGUGGUAUAAGAUGGACCCGCGUUGGAUUAGCUGGUUGGUGGGGUAACGGCCCACCAAGGCGACGAUCCAUAGCCGGCCUGAGAGGGUGAACGGCCACAUUGGGACUGAGACACGGCCCAA